rnacentral:rRNA from 1 species
UACGUAGGGGGCAAGCGUUGUCCGGAUUUAUUGGGCGUAAAGAGCGUGUAGGCGGCCAUGUAGGUCCGGUGUGAAAACUCGAGGCUUAACCUCGAGAUGUCAUCGGAAACCAUUUGGCUAGAGUCCGGAAGAGGAGAGUGGAAUUCCUGGUGUAGCGGUGAAAUGCGCAGAUAUCAGGAAGAACACCCGUGGCGAAGGCGGCUCUCUGGGACGGUACUGACGCUGAGACGCGAAAGCGUGGGGAGCGAACAGG